rnacentral:rRNA from 1 species
CCCUUAGAUGUUCUGGGCAGCACGCGCGCUACAAUGGUCUUCGCAAACGGGUGCAUUCUCGAAGGAGAAUGCCAAUCUUGGAAUCUAUGCCUUGGUCGGGACAGUUGCUUGCAAUUUUUCGACUCGAACCAGGAAUUCCUUGUAAUCGUGAUUCAUCACAUCACGAUGAAUACGUCCCUGCCCUUUGUACACACCGCCCGUCGCUCCUACCGAUCGAAGAGUUAGGUGAAUUGUUUUGAUCGAUAAGAUUUGACUAUGGUCAACUCUCGUUGUGAAAUUCUGUGAAUCUGACUGUUUAGAGGAAGGAAAAGUCGUAACA